CAGUGAGCGAGACAAGCCUGAGCCGCCCUGACAGUGGUUCUUCAGAUUCUUCACUGUUCCCAUCGGGAGUGAUAUUUUCGGGUUUUUCCAAUGUGUGGCUUUGGCACCUCUCCGAACACUUCUAUUUAAUCUCUGUUUGGCCCAGCUAAGAGCCUGAAGGCAACGCUCGGGGUUUACCACCUGAUCACUCCAGCUCGUACCUUCAGAAGCUUCAGGUCGUGACCAAGAGGAUGAAAUCGCAGAUACAAGAAGCUGAAAUUAGUUUUCACUGCAGGGAUAGGCCGUGCAGCUCAGAUUCCCAGAUACCCUAUCUAAGCUCCUAACCUAUUCUUGCAACAGUUGCUUCUUUAUGUUGACCAGAACCUGCAGUGGGAGUAGGGGGGGUUGGGCAUCUGAUUAGGACAUCUCCCUGAGGCCUCCCCGUGGAGGUAUUCUGGGCACGUCUGACUGAAAAGAAGCCCAGAAGACUCAGAAGGGAUUAUAUAUUCCUACUGGUAUGGGAAUGCCUCAGGAUGCCCUAGAAGGAGCUUGGAGGGCAUGGCUGGGAAAGGACUCCUAAGCUGCUCUUAUUAGUGAGCUGCCACUGGAGCCAAGGCCAUGGUGAGGGGAUUAAUGUACGAAUAUAUGAAAGUUGUUUUUUGAUUCGUAUUGCUUUGGGUUGCACUACAAUGGAAUAGUAAAUGGAAUAAAGUAAAACAUUUAUUUAGU